GACGAAAAGCAAUACGUAUUCCAUAGCACUGUAAAGAAAUCUGUUUCAACAACUGCAAUUACGAAAGAGAGCAAUUCCGAUUACGUAUUUGGAAAUCGAGCAACAGUUGUAAUUAGCAAAGGAAACAGAGAUUCUUUAGAAUCACAACAGUAUUUUAAUGUUUCAAAAGUUAACACCGAUGUGACAGCGUUGAUACAUUUAAAAUCAGAUAUUCACAAACCUGUAAAAUGUCAUUCAACACCAAACUCACUAAGAAAACGGGAAGAUAUUAAAGUCCCCGUUAAUUCGUAUGUGGAGUAUCCAUCAGAAGUUUUACAAAAAACGACUAAUUUUGAAA